AUUCUAUUAUUUUUCACCAAAUGUCAGAGGCUAUAACUCUUUGUUAGAUCAUGAGUUUUGUUGUUUAAAGGUUGUUAUGUGUAGCUUGUUAUGUGGUAUUUAACCUCCAAAAAGAAUCAGGUCCAUAUAUAUUAUGGAUUAAGAGUUAUUUAAGGUCAAAGUGGGUUGACCGGCAUUGACCGGAAAAUUCUGGGCAGCCCAGAAUUUUCU
rnacentral:lncRNA from 1 species